AUGAGGACCCACGUUUCACAGUGCAUCUUCUGUGUUCCAGAGUCCCCGACCAGCCCCAGUGUCUUCCCGCUGAACGUCAGUAGUGCUGAGUCAGGCGACGAGGUGGUCAUCGGCUGCCUGAUCCAGGGCUUCUUCCCCUCGGAGCCCCUGAAUGUGACCUGGAGCUACAGCGGAGAGGACACAAUCGUCACAAACUACCCAGCAGCCCAGGAUGCCGAUGGGCUAUACACCACAGUUAGCCAGCUGACCCUGCCAGCCGCCCAGUGCCCGGACAGUGAGUCCAUGACAUGCCACGUGGAACACAACUCCAACUAUAGCCAGGAUGUGAUUGUGCCCUGCAAAGAGACUUCUCCAACUCAGUGCGGCAAUCCCCGCCUGUCACUGCACCGACCAGCCCUCGAGGACCUGCUCCUGGGCUCAGAUGCCAACCUCACAUGUACGCUGAGUGGCCUGAAAGAUGCCCAGGGCGUCUACUUUACCUGGGAGCCCUCAGAGGGGGCGGCCGCUGUCCAGCAGUCAUACAAGCUUGACGCCUGCGGCUGCUACAGCGUGUCCAGCGUCCUGCCCGGCUGCGCGGAGCCCUGGAACCUCGGGCAGACCUUCACAUGCACUGGCACCGACCCUGCGUCCAACACCACACUAACCGCCACCAUCGCCAAAGCCUCAGAGGACACCUAUCAGCCCCAGGUCCACCUGCUGCCGCCGCCGUCGGAGGAGCUGGCCCUGAACGAGCUGGUGACGCUGACGUGCCUGGCGCGGGGUUUCAGCCCGAAGGACGUGCUAGUGCGCUGGCUGCACGGCACCGAGGAGCUGCCCCGCGAGGACUACCUGACGUGGGCCCCGAAGCAGGAGCCCAGCCAGGGCGCCACCACCUUUGCCGUGGCCAGCCUGCUGCGCGUGACAGCCGAGGUCUGGAGGAAUGGGGACAACUUCUCCUGCCUGGUGGGGCACGAGGCUCUGCCCAAGGCCUUCACCCAGAAGACCAUCGACCGCCUGGCGGGUAAACCCAACCACGUCAACGUGUCCGUGGUCUUGUCCGAGGUGGAUGGCAUCUGCUACUGAGCCACCCGCCGCCCCGCCCCUUGAAUAAACUCUGAGCUCGCCCGAAGCA